AUAACCAAGAAAAGCACAGUCAGCCCCAUAUUUGAAAACAUCCCCGUGUUCCCUGUUUCAGACGAUGAUGACAGCCCAACUCCUAAUAUGGUCGCUACAGAAGAGCAUUUUGUUGAGGCAAGCAGUGGCCCUAGCACACAUGACAAGAACACUAGGAAGAAGAGGAUGGCCAAAGUUCCAGCGGUAAAAAAUACCAAGGCAAAGAAGCAAAAGGUUGAUGCAGCUGCAGCCAUGUAUGAGAAGUAUGUAAAGCAUGGGAAACCAUUGAGGAGAUCACAUGCCAAUGAACAAGUGACACCUUUCAUCAAGAUGGGUGGAUUUUACAUUGGAUACAAGAAAUUCCUGGUAUGCUUCAAGCCUCGUGGGGAUAUGAAUGAUGAGGUUAUGUCCCUAUGUAUCGAGAUGAACAACAUGACAUCCCAUGCAGCAAGUGGU